UGAAUUAAACAUGCUUGGUGUCUCGCUUCGGCAAGGCCCUUGCUUAAAUCACAUCCCAACACCUGUGAACUGUAAGACGUAUGAUGAGGUCUUUGGCCAGUCAAUCGUCUGCCCAUUUUUAACAAACAAUUAAUGUAACAAACGUAGUCUUAUUAUAACCUAAUA
rnacentral:misc_RNA from 1 species